rnacentral:rRNA from 1 species
GAGAUCUUCGGAUCUAGUGGCGCACGGGUGCGUAACGCGUGGGAAUCUGCCCUUGGGUUCGGAAUAACGUCGGGAAACUGANGCUAAUACCGGAUGAUGACGUAAGUCCAAAGAUUUAUCGCCCAGGGAUGANCCCGCGUAGGAUUAGCUAGUUGGUGGGGUAAAGGCCUACCAAGGCGACNAUCCUUAGCUGGUCUGAGAGGAUGAUCANCCACNCNGGGACUGAGACACGGCCCANACUCCUANGGGAGGCAGCAGUNGGGAAUNUUGGACAAUGGGGGCAACCCUGAUCCAGCAAUGCCGCGUGAGUGAUGAAGGCCUUAGGGUUGUAAAGCUCUUUUACCAGAGAUGAUAAUGACAGUAUCUGGGGAAUAAGCCCCGGCUAACUCCGUGCCAGCAGCCGCGGUAAUACGGAGGGGGCUAGCGUUGUUCGGAAUUACUGGGCGUAAAGCGCACGUAGGCGGCGAUUUAAGUCAGAGGUGAAAGCCCGGGGCUCAACCCCGGAACUGCCUUUGAGACUGGAUUGCUUGAAUCCGGGAGAGGUGAGUGGAAUUCCGAGUGUAGAGGUGAAAUUCGUAGAUAUUCNGAAGAACACCAGUGGCGAAGGCGGCUCACUGGACCGGCAUUGACGCUGAGGUGCGAAAGCGUGGGGAGCAAACAGGAUUANAUACCCUGGUANUCCACGCCGUANACGAUGAUAACUAGCUGCCGGG